rnacentral:rRNA from 1 species
UACGAAGGGGGCUAGCGUUGCUCGGAAUGACUGGGCGUAAAGGGUGUGCAGGUGGCCUGUUAAGUGGUGUAUGAAAUCGCCCGGCUCAACCGGGCGGGGUUAUGCCAGACUGGCAGGCUAGAGGGUGGGAGAGGGAUGUGGAAUUCCGGGUGUAGUGGUGAAAUGCGUAGAGAUCCGGAGGAACCCCAGAGGCGAAGGCGGCAUCCUGGCCCACGACUGACACUCAGACACGACAGCAUGGGGAGCGAACGGG